rnacentral:misc_RNA from 1 species
UUUUCCGAAUAUCUCACAACUCUAUCACAAAGGGUAUAAUAUUACAAUAUUUAAAAUGGUCCAUACCGCGGGGGCGUUGCCCCUGCACCCCGAAGGAGAUCAAUAGUGGGCUUCGAGCCUAGGCCUAUCGGCCCAUGCCCUCCACUACUACCACAAAAUCUCACUUUUUAUCCCAAUUGAAUCGCAACACGAAAAAACUUUCAGGUCG